rnacentral:rRNA from 1 species
GACGAACGCUGGCGGCGUGCCUAACACAUGCAAGUCAACUUGACUGAAGGAGCAAUCUGACAGUAGAGUGGCGCAAGGGUGCGUAACGCGUAAGUAACUUGCCCAAGGUAAGGAAUAACGUCGAGAAAUCGGCGCUAAUACCUCAUAAUGCAGCGGAUCCGCAUGGAUAUGUUGUUAAAGGUUUACCGCCUUGGGAUAGGCUUGCGUCUGAUUAGCUAGUUGGUGUGGUAACGGCACACCAAGGCUACGAUCAGUAACUGGUCUGAGAGGAUGAUCAGUCACACUGGAACUGAGACACGGUCCAGACUCCUACGGGAGGCAGCAGUGAGGAAUAUUGGGCAAUGCUCGAAAGAGUGACCCAGCAACGCCGCGUGGAGGAUGAAGGUAUUCUAUAUCGUAAACUCCUGUGAGAGCAGACGAAGACAGUAUUAUUAAUCUGAUGACUGUAUGCUCAGAGGAACGCCCGGACUAAC